UACAGAGGUCUCAAGCGUUGUUCGGAUUCAUUGGGCGUAAAGGGUGCGUAGGCGGCGCGGUAAGUCGGGUGUGAAAUCUUGGAGCUCAACUCCAGAACUGCCUUUGAUACUGGCGAUCUCGAGUCCGGGAGAGGUGAGUGGAACUGCGAGUGUAGAGGUGAAAUUCGUAGAUAUUCGCAAGAACACCAGUGGCGAAGGCGGCUCACUGGCCCGAUACUGACGCUGAGGCACGAAAGCGUGGGGAGCAAACAGG
rnacentral:rRNA from 1 species